rnacentral:misc_RNA from 1 species
GAUGAAGAACGUAGCGAAAUGCGAUAAGUAAUGUGAAUUGCAGAAUUCAGUGAAUCAUCGAAUCUUUGAACGCACCUUGCACCCUUUGGUAUUCCGAAGGGUAUGCUCGUUUGAGUGUCAUUGUACUCUCACACUUCUAAUUCCUUUCGGGAUUGGGAGCGGUGGACUUGGGUGUUGCUGCUUUAGUUGUGGCUCACCUCAAAUAAGUUAGUGCAACUCUUGGUUGGACAUAGUACGGCGUGAUAAGUGUCUUCGCCGGCGCCUCUGUAAGGAGGGUGGCCGAUCGGGAGCUCUGUGCUUCAAACCGUCUUCGGACAAUCUUUGACAACUUGACCUCAAAUCGAGUAGGACCACCCGCUGAACUUAAGCAUAUCAAUAAGCGGAGGA